rnacentral:rRNA from 1 species
CCUACGGGAGGCUGCAGUAGGGAAUAUUGCACAAUGGGCGAAAGCCUGAUGCAGCAACGCCGCGUGCGCGAAGAAGGCCUUCGGGUCGUAAAGCGCUUUUCUGAGAGAUGAGAAAGGACAGUAUCUCAGGAAUAAGUCUCGGCUAACUACGUGCCAGCAGCCGCGGUAAAACGUAGGAGGCAAGCGUUAUCCGGAUUCACUGGGCGUAAAGCGCGUGCAGGCGGUUCGGUAAGUUGGGCGUGAAAUCUCCGGGCUCAACUGGGAGAGGUCGUCCAAUACUACCGGGCUAGAGAGCAGUAGAGGAAAAUGGAAUUCCCGGUGUAGGGGUAAAAUGCGUAGAUAUCGGGAGGACCACCAGUGGCGAGGGCGGUCUUCUGGACUGUUUCUGACGCUCAGACGCGAAAGCUGGGGGAGCAAACGAGAUUAGAGACCCGGGUAGU